rnacentral:lncRNA from 1 species
AGUCCCGCUCUUUGUUUCUGUUUCAUUCAUGGCGGCUGUUACGCGGUGCUUCCCCCUAAAACCUGCUCACGGCUCUUUACAGUUGCAGCCCCUCUGCAGAGAGUCUCCCUUGCUGUAUUUGAUUGUGCAUCCUUUGGGCUGCAGCCAGGUUUCUGCGGCAAAAGUCAACAUUAGCAUUUCAGAAGCUAAUCUAUUUUAAUCAUCUCAAUCUUGUGUAAGAUUCCCAAACUCCCCCUGGAGGAGCCUGGAGCAGUUUCAGACAUUUACGGGCUCCCGGGGUGAGUUGCCAUUUCAGCGCCUUGAUGCAUCACAAAUCUAAAUUCAUUAUCCUCCAUAAUUAAAGCAAAUAUAUCAAAGAGCACUAACGCUGCAGCGAUACUGUCAGUGGGCUCCGGGGGGACCGUGGCUCGGGCCUGCAGCCCAGGUGGCUUUUAAUAUAUUCAAACACACACACACUCGCACACACAAAGAUAAAUAUAGCAUCUUGUUAAACGCAUCCUCAGGGUUCCCAUUAAUAAUUCAACCCAAAACUGGGAGACAUGGCAGACAUAUUCCUGCAAAAUUUAAUUGCCACUACUUUUAAUUAUACUCUGGUCACCACAUUUAAUUAUACCGCUCGCUCUGGUGGCGAUGAAUUCAUUUUUAGAGGAAAUCGGAAAUCUUCGCCGGCAGGAGAUCUUUAUAAGACUCCUGAAAUACUCUCAGGGGAGCAGUGAGGAGGUGUCUGCUGAGCUCAGGAGGGAACUGACACAGACUUUGUCAUAAUUUCUGUUAUUUUUUUCAUCUCCUUUGAGGAUUUGGGGAUAUGGCAAUAUUCUGCUCUGGUUUAGUCUAUUAUACUAAAUUGCAUCCUUGAGUGUUAUGUCCCAGAGUAAGGGCUUUAUACUCCUCAGGACUUUAAAAAAAAAAAAGGAGCUUGUAUAUGGUUGAGAGAUAAUCAGCCCAAAUAAGGCAAAUCUGUCCUAAGUUGACUUACGACUGAAGAAAUACUUUCACAUUUCCUCAGAGAGCUGUUUACGCAGAGACACACUGCAAAAAAUAUCAAUAUGGAGAGGUCAGCUGAGCUACAGUGAGACUCAUUUUUGAGCAAAGACGGUUUUCCGAGUCUCUUUCAGUUACAAAUAACAGUCUCUGAGGCAUCAACUGGUGUUAAACAUUUCCCACACUGGCAGAAGCUGGCUAAUUUCGCUUUCAUACUUAGGUAGUGCAAACCAGAUUAAGGAGGGUUACUCCCAUUUUUCACCGCAUCCGGAACGGCUCCGAUCCAGAACGGCAGCAAUUUUCGCCGUCUGCCAAUUCCUACUGGAUCCAUUUGUGAGGCAAAUUUCGUGGUGGAUUACGGACAGCAGGAAUCGUGAGAACUCACAAGAGCCCGUGGAUGUAUGUGCAAUCACGCGAUAACAAGUUGUCUUUAGCCACAUAGGCUAACCAUGUAAGCAGUAGAUUGUGUCCUUCCAGAGGAGGAAAUCUACUUCUAGACUUCUAGAAUCAACAUCUCCUCAUCCAUGGUGUCAUCAGGGUGAAAUGACGUCUAAAAACCUUUCACUUGUUUGUCCCCACCUGUUUGCAUGGUGUGAAAUUCGUAGCCGUUUUGGAUGCAGUGGAAAUUGGGGGUUUAAGUUCAAUAUGCAACUCAAGCACCAACUCAAAUAAGAGAAAAAUAUGGGGUAUUUUAGAAGUACAGCGCCCCAAACCCUGAAUUCCUGCGUAACUCUUAGCAUCGAUAUAAUUAAAGCAUACGUUUUGAAAAAUUCCACCCCCUCUAGUGGACACUCUGGGAACUGCAGGUGCUUAAAAGACUACAUAGAAAGCAUUGCUGGCCAUAACUUUACAUAGGUGUCAUUUCGCAGACAUUUGAGGAUGCUUCAUAGUCUUUACUUGCCUGCAAAUGCUUCCCAGGGUUGCCCCAUGGCGGAUCUUCAAGUCUCCACUUGACCUGCUUCCCUAAAUAGCUCACAAAGUCUCUGGGGGAUGAUACUACUAUGACAAAGACAGACCACCUCCUCUACUAAAAUCUAGUCCUGUGUGAACAGAUUCUGCUUUUCUUGCAGAAUAGAGGCUGCAGAUUCAAGAACACAUUCUCAGCACCAGGUAACAGUGGAUCACCAAAGUCCACUUUAGUAUUGCCUAACCAUAACCCUUAUCCCCAGCUCUACUAACAACAACACAGAUAUCCUAGAGAUUCAGUCCUAGAAUGGUGGUCCUAAAACUAAAGAUUCUGGCUCUGCAGAUGCAUUACAUAGGCCUGAGUGACCUCUGGCUUGUGAUUUAAAGGAAUAUUCUGACAUAAAAUUAAUUUAGGGUCAAACUCACCGUAACACAGAGUUAGACACCCCGUUGAGAGAUGAAUGUUGCUGACCGCUUGUUUCUCUAUUUAUACCAACUUAAGUAACGACCGCAGGAUAGCAAUACACAGCAGUCUGAGGAGCCAUAAACAAACCUCACCUGAACACAAAAUAAUUCUGCAUCUACAAAACUUCUGCAAAAUCGAGUCUCUUCGUCACUUAUUUGACGAGAAACAGGAACACUCUGAGGUAACAGGAACUUUCUGGAGUACUCUGGGGACAUUAUGUCGUGUUAAAAGGAUGGUGUCCGCUCUAUUUCAAGGCGA